rnacentral:lncRNA from 1 species
CCGCGGGAGACCUCUCGGGCCCGGUACGCCCUACCCUUGGUUCGCCACCUUGCCCCUCGAGUCCUUGUCCAGGUCCUCCGCUUCUUGCAGUUAAAGAAAUUGUAAGAGACGGGGUGCUUCUUUAGUUGAAGCUUUCAGAGGCCUCCCGGGAGCGCAGGGUAGCGCCUCUGUUUUUUUUUUCUUGCUUUCUUGGAGGUUCUUACAAGAAGGCUGCGUUCCGGGAGCGGCCCCUCCCACUUUCCCGGUCCGCAGCGUUACUUACAAGGCUGCAACUUGACCGGGUGCAACUUCCUAGCGAGCCUCCGCCCCGCCCCUCGUGACGCCGCCUGCAGGCGGGCCCCCGCCUGCCCCAGCUCAGCCCGGGAGCUCCGCUGAGCUGCGCGCCGCCGCCUCCAGCUCCCCUGCCGCAGCGCGCCGCAGCCGGGCCUCCCCGCGCGGGCGCCGGAGAGGAAGGAAGGCUGGCAGCCUCGUCACGUGUCCGCUGCAGUCGCGAAACAGUUCCGGUGGUGAGGAGACCUUUCCAAAUAUAAGAGGAAUAAAGAAGUCACCUCCCCAGCUGUCAUCAUCUUCCAGCAGAUUGAGCAAGAAUAUUUUGAGCACUACAGGAAAGACAGUCCAUCAAACCCUAUAUGAUGAUCAGCCAUGUGACUUUUUCAAGAAGAGGAAUAGGGUGAAUGAAUCUCAUCAAAAAAGCAGGUAAAUAGUUUUAGUAUAAUUGUUUUAUCUUGCGAAAGGCUCAUUAUCUCUCU